rnacentral:rRNA from 1 species
UACCAGCCCCCUGAGUGGUAGGGACGAUUAUUUGGCCUAAAGCGUCCGUAGCCGGCUCAGUAAGUCUUUCGUUAAAUCUAACGAUUCAAUCGUUAGACCGCGUUAGAUACUGCUGGGCUAGAGGAUGGGAGAGGUCGACGGUAGUCCUGGGGUAGGGGUGAAAUCCUAUAAUCCUAGGAGGACCACCAGUGGCGAAGGCGGUCGACUAGAACAUGCCUGACGGUGAGGGACGAAAGCUGGGGGAGCGAACCGGAUUAGACACCCGGGUAGUCCCAGCUGUAAACGAUGCGAGCUAGGUGUCGGAGCAGCUACGAGCUGCUCCAGUGCCGCAGAGAAGUCGUUAAGCUCGCCGCCUGGGAAUACGGUCGCAAGACUGAAACUUAAAGGGAAUUGGCGGGGGAGCACCACAAGGGGUGAAGGCUGCGGUUU